UACGAAGGGGCUAGCGUUGCUCGGAAUCACUGGGCGUAAAGGGUGCGUAGGCGGGUCUUUAAGUCAGGGGUGAAAUCCUGGAGCUCAACUCCAGAACUGCCUUUGAUACUGAAGAUCUUGAGUUCGGGAGAGGUGAGUGGAAACUGCGAGUGUAGAGGUGAAAUUCGUAGAUAUUCGCAAGAACACCAGUGGCGAAGGCGGCUCACUGGCCCGAUACGUGAC
rnacentral:rRNA from 1 species